GUCACAAGAAUGGAGCUUGAAUUAGAGCAACAAACGAACAUUCAAUUUCUUGAUCAACUUGGCAAGAGUGGAAGUGAAAUCAGAGAAUGAAAAAUCUUUUACCAUUCUUCUGCUGCUACUCUGCCACGCUAAGCACAACCCAUCAUUGGGAUGCCAGCUACCAUCCCUAGAGCGGUCGGGAUACAAAGAAUAGUCUGAAAAGGAAGAUUCCAAGCACGUUCCCACGACAGCCCUCUCCGGACGGAUCACUGUAAAUUAUGGUCGUGUCAGCCAUGGUAGAAUUCUGCAGAGGUACCAACCAGGAGACACGCAUGACUGCACCACCAAUGAUGAUCUAAGGGGUGUCCUAGCUCAACUGUAAGUCUCAGAGUAAAAUGAAGCUACCCAGCCAGGAUACACACAAA